UGCAAGCAGUUGUGAUUAUGCAUAUUGCAGUUUGUACAUUUGCUUUGAGUAUAUCAUGCAACCCUAAUUAUUAGCUUGUUUAAAUCUUUAUCUCCCUCUUAUUCUAGUGAGGUCUAGACCUCAUCUGUUCCUGUAGAUCUGUGUCGCCGCUGUGCGACAUCAAACCAGCCAAAUGGCCGAGAAGAACACCAGAAUCGCUAUCGUGAACCAUGACAAGUGCAAGCCCAAGAAAUGUCUUCAAGGGUGCAAGAAGAGCUGUCCGGUGGUGCGCAUGGGUAAGAUGUGUAUCGAGGUCACACCUCAGAGUAAAAUCGUCUGGAACUCAGAGUCUCUCUGCAUUGGUUGUGGAAUCUGUAUCAAGAAAUGUCCAUUGGUGC